AACGAACGCUGGCGGCAUGCCUAACACAUGCAAGUCGAACGAAGCCUUCGGGCUUAGUGGCGCACGGGUGCGUAACGCGUGGGAAUCUGCCCUUUGGUUCGGAAUAACAGUUGGAAACGACUGCUAAUACCGGAUGAUGACGAAAGUCCAAAGAUUUAUCGCCAGAGGAUGAGCCCGCGUAGGAUUAGCUAGUUGGUGUGGUAAAGGCGCACCAAGGCGACGGCCCUUAGCUGGUCUGAGAGGAUGAUCAGCCACACUGGGACUGAGACACGGCCCAGACUCCUACGGGAGGCAGCAGUGGGGAAUAUUGGACAAUGGGCGAAAGCCUGAUCCAGCAAUGCCGCGUGAGUGAUGAAGGCCCUAGGGUUGUAAAGCUCUUUUACCCGGGAUGAUAAUGACAGUACCGGGAGAAUAAGCCCCGGCUAACUCCGUGCCAGCAGCCGCCGUAA
rnacentral:rRNA from 1 species